GACGAACGCUGGCGGCGUGCCUAAUACAUGCAAGUUGAGCGCUGAAGGUUGGUACUUGUACCCACUGGAUGAGCAGCGAACGGGUGAGUAACGCGUGGGGAAUCUGCCUUUGAGCGGGGGACAACAUUUGGAAACGAAUGCUAAUACCGCAUAAAAACUUUAAACACAAGUUUUAAGUUUGAAAGAUGCAAUUGCAUCACUCAAAGAUGAUCCCGCGUUGUAUUAGCUAGUUGGUGAGGUAAAGGCUCACCAAGGCGAUGAUACAUAGCCGACCUGAGAGGGUGAGCGGCCACAGUGGGACUGAGACACGGCCCAAACUCCUACGGGAGGCAGCAGUAGGGAAUCUUCGGCAAUGGACGAAAGUCUGACCGAGCAACGCCGCGUGAGUGAAGAAGGGUUUCGGAUCGUAAAACUCUGUUGGUAGAGAAGAACGUUGGUGAGAGUGGAAAGCUCAUCAAGUGACGGUAACUACCCAGAAAGGGACGGCUAACUACGUG
rnacentral:rRNA from 1 species